GAUGAACGCUGGCGGCGUGCCUAAUACAUGCAAGUCGAGCGAACAGACGAGGAGCUUGCUCCUCUGACGUUAGCGGCGGACGGGUGAGUAACACGUGGAUAACCUACCUAUAAGACUGGGAUAACUUCGGGAAACCGGAGCUAAUACCGGAUAAUAUAUUGAACCGCAUGGUUCAAUAGUGAAAGACGGUUUUGCUGUCACUUAUAGAUGGAUCCGCGCCGCAUUAGCUAGUUGGUAAGGUAACGGCUUACCAAGGCAACGAUGCGUAGCCGACCUGAGAGGGUGAUCGGCCACACUGGAACUGAGACACGGUCCUGACUCCUACGGAAGGCAGCAGUAGGGAAUCUUCCGCAAUGGGCGAAAGCGUGACGGAGCAACGCCGCGUGAGUGAUGAAGGUCUUCGGAUCGUAAAACUCUGUUAUUAGGGAAGAACAAAUGUGUAAGUAACUAUGCACGUCUUGACGGUACCUAAUCAGAAAGCCACGGCUAACUACGUG
rnacentral:rRNA from 1 species